GACGAACGCUGGCGGCGUGCUUAACACAUGCAAGUCGAGCGGUAAGGCCCUUUCGGGGGUACACGAGCGGCGAACGGGUGAGUAACACGUGGGUGACCUGCCCUCAGCUCUGGGAUAAGCCUGGGAAACCGGGUCUAAUACUGGAUAUGACUCCAUGACGCAUGUUGUGGGGUGGAAAGCCUUGUGCGGCUGAGGAUGGGCCCGCGGCCUAUCAGCUUGUUGGUGGGGUGANGGCCUACCAAGGCGACGACGGGUAGCCGGCCUGAGAGGGCGACCGGCCACACUGGGACUGAGACACGGCCCAGACUCCUACGGGAGGCAGCAGUGGGGAAUCUUGCGCAAGUGGGCGAAAGCCUGACGCAGCGACGCCGCGUGAGGGAUGACGGCCUGGU
rnacentral:rRNA from 1 species